UACGGAGGGUGCGAGCGUUGUUCGGAAUCACUGGGCGUAAAGCGCGUGUAGGCGGCCCAUUAAGUCUGAUGUGAAAGCCCGGGGCUCACCCCCGGAAGUGCAUUGGAUACUGUCAGGCUCGAGUCCGGAAGAGGCAAGUGGAAUUCCCGGUGUAGCGGUGAAAUGCGCAGAUAUCGGGAGGAACACCAAUGGCGAAGGCAGCUUGCUGGGACGGUACUGACGCUGAGGCGCGAAAGCGUGGGGAGCAAACAGG
rnacentral:rRNA from 1 species